rnacentral:rRNA from 1 species
UAAGAAUCUUGCGCAAUGGGCGAAAGCCUGACGCAGCAAUUCCGCGUGGGGGACGAAGGCCCUCGGGUCGUAAACCCCUUUUGUGAGGGAAGAAGUUCUGACGGUACCUCACGAAUAAGACACGGCUAACUACGUGCCAGCAGCCGCGGUAAUACGUAGGUGUCGAGCGUUGUCCGGAUUUAUUGGGCGUAAAGAGCCCGCAGGCGGCUUGGUAAGUUCGAGGUGAAAUCUCCCGGCUCAACUGGGAGGGUGCCUCGAAAACUAUCAGGCUUGAGGCAGGGAGAGGGAUGUGGAAUUCCCGGUGUAGUGGUGAAAUGCGUAGAUAUCGGGAGGAACACCAGUGGCGAAGGCGGCAUCCUGGCCCUGUCCUGACGCUCAGGGGCGAAAGCGUGGGGAGCAAACC